rnacentral:rRNA from 1 species
GUUAUUAAAAACAUGGCUUAUUGAAUUAUAAUUUUAAGUCGGACCUGCCCAAUGAUUGAGUAGAUUGAAUGGCCGCAGUAAUUUGACUGUGCAAAGGUAGCAUAAUCAUUAGUUUUUUAAUUGAAAGCUUGUAUGAAAGGUUUGAUGAGAAAAAGACUGUCUCUAUUUAAAUUAAUUAGAAUUUUAUUUUUAAGUAAAAAAGCUUAAAUAGGUAUAGAAGACGAGAAGACCCUAUAGAGUUUUAUAUAUUUAUUUUUAAAAAUAUUUUAGAAUUAUAGGUUCAAGGAGAUUUAUAUAUUUGAUUGGGGUGAUAAAAAAAUUAAAGAAACUUUUUUUGUAUAAAAACAUUAAUAUAUGAAAUUUUGAUCCUUAAAAAAGAUUAGAAGUUUAAAUUACCUUAGGGAUAACAGCGUAAUUUUUUUUUAGAGUUCAAAUUAAAAAAAAAGAUUGCGACCUCGAUGUUGGAUUAAAAAAAAUUAUUGGUGUAGAAGCUAAUAAAUUAGGUCUGUUCGACCUUUAAAAUUUUACAUGAUCUGAGUUUAAACCGGUGUGAGCCAGGUCGGUUU